UUUUAUAUUUCAGAAAUAGGAAAUCUUUUUUUUUAAGUUCGAAAGAGUAAGAGUAGAAAAAAACAUAAAUUCUAAAUAAGUUCACUCUUUGAACAUUUGAUAUUAAUUUUCAUGCUUUUCCUUAACAAGUUGAUAGAUAUGAAGUAACAUCUAACAAAUUUACACGAGACAUUUUCAAAGAAUUGUUAGUGUCCUUGGUAGCUUCCGUAUUUAUGGGAUUUGGUGUUCUCUUUCUAUUGUUGUGGGUCGGCAUCUUCGUAUAGCAGGAAAUCCAGCUGGUGUCUGUGGUGAUUGUAAAAGAAGUGUGUCUGUGACCAGUCAUCAUCAUCAUCAUCACCAUCAUCAUUAUCAUCAUCAUUCCAUGUAUACAGUACAUGAAACUCGAGAACUUUCGAAUGUUUUGUAAAUUGUGAUGGGCUAUCUGUAGAGAGUAUCUUAUUUUGAAUAAAUGUUAAUAUAUUGUCA